rnacentral:rRNA from 1 species
GAUCCUGGCUCAGGAUGAACGCUAGCUACAGGCUUAACACAUGCAAGUCGAGGGGAAACGACAUCGAAAGCUUGCUUUUGAUGGGCGUCGACCGGCGCACGGGUGAGUAACGCGUAUCCAACCUGCCCACCACUUGGGGAUAACCUUGCGAAAGUAAGACUAAUACCCAAUGACGUCUCUAGAAGACAUCUGAAAGAGAUUAAAGAUUUAUCGGUGAUGGAUGGGGAUGCGUCUGAUUAGCUUGUUGGCGGGGUAACGGCCCACCAAGGCGACGAUCAGUAGGGGUUCUGAGAGGAAGGUCCCCCACAUUGGAACUGAGACACGGUCCAAACUCCUACGGGAGGCAGCAGUGAGGAAUAUUGGUCAAUGGACGAGAGUCUGAACCAGCCAAGUAGCGUGCAGGAUGACGGCCCUAUGGGUUGUAAACUGCUUUUAUAAGGGAAUAAAGUGAGUCUCGUGAGACUUUUUGCAUGUACCUUAUGAAUAAGGACCGGCUAAUUCCGUG